rnacentral:rRNA from 1 species
CAGCCGCCACGGGAAUACGUAGGGUGCGAGCGUUAAUCGGAAUUACUGGGCGUAAAGCGUGCGCAGGCGGUUCGUUAAGACAGAUGUGAAAUCCCCGGGCUCAACCUGGGAACUGCAUUCGAAACUGGCAGGCUAGAGUCUUGUAGAGGGGGGUAGAAUUCCAGGUGUAGCGGUGAAAUGCGUAGAGAUCUGGAGGAAUACCGGUGGCGAAGGCGGCCCCCUGGACAAAGACUGACGCUCAGGUGCGAAAGCGUGGGGAGCAAACAGGAUUAGAUACCCGAGUAGUCCCUGUCUCUUAUAC